CCAAUGGGGUAGCAGCGCCGCCUCCCAGCCCCACGCGCUCCAACGGCCGCAACCGUAACGUGUCUCCUUCCCCCUUCCCCUGCCAGGCACCCCAUGCGGUGAGUCACUUCCGGACCAGCUGCGGGGGAGCUCCAGGCCUGCGGGAGAGCCGAAAUGAAAAAUGCCUUAUCGGUGGAUGCCUUAUUAUCGGGGAGGUCUUAUUAUCGGGGGGAUGCCUUAUAUUACAACGAGAGGCAAAACUAAGCACCUGGCACUGGCCGCCGUCAGAAGACAGGAUCCUGUACUAGAUGGACUAUUCGUCUGACCCACUACAACAGUUCUAAUGUUCAGCAAAAAUUACAAUCAAUUUUUGCCUUUGACAUGGAUGUUACAUGAGAGACUAUACAGCCUUUAUUGAAUAUUUGCGAAUUGAGUUCUACACACAAGCAAUGGCAUGCAGAAAAAAACAAAGGGCGGGAUUGAGAGGCAAAACAGCAGUUGCAAAAGGCAAUCGCCAUUGAAUAAAAAAAUUUUUUGAGACCAGCCCAGAAAUUCAGUCAGGCUGGAAGUCAGAUGAUCCAGCAGAAUAACCUUCUGCUCUAAAAAUAAGAAGAAAAAGUUAGAAUUAAAAAUUCCAAAUGAGAAAUCACAGUAAAAAACCAGAGCAAGUGCAAUACCAGAAACACAGAUGUUGCUGCUAAAACUAGCAAUUUCUUACUGCUGCAUAUUUUCAAGGAGGACUUGUUGGUAAAAUAUAAAUUAAAUAGCACAAUGACCUGCAUCUGCACAAUAACAAAGCAAAAUGACGAAGUGAUAAAAGUAAUUCAGGGAAUCCCAGCAGCAGAGAAGACAAAUUGGUGAACUUCUGUGAGACUUUAUGCAGCCAGAUACACUGAUAAGGGAUUCUUUGGUUCUGUAAAGGAUUUCACUGAAUGAAGUAUCCGAGGGGAAGCCGUGUUAGUCUGGAUCUGUAAAAAAGCAACAGAGUCCUGUGGCACCUUAUAGACUAACAGACGGAUUGCAGCAUAAGCUUUUGUGGGUGAAUGCCCCUUCAUCAUCUGAUGA